GACGAACGCUGGCGGCGUGCUUAACACAUGCAAGUCGAACGAAGUUGCGAACGGGUGAGUAACGCGUAAUCAACCUGCCCUUCAGAGGGGGACAACAGUUGGAAACGACUGCUAAUACCGCAUACUUACGGAGGGGAUUGAUUCUGAUUAGCUAGUUGGAGGGGUAACGGCCCCCCAAGGCGAUGAUCGGUAGCCGGUCUGAGAGGAUGAACGGCCACAUUGUGACUGAGACACGGCCCAGACUCCGACGGUAGGCAGCAGUGGUGAAUCUUCCGCAAUGGACGAAAGUCUGACGGAGCAACGACGCGUGAGGGAUGACGGCCUUCGGGUUGUAAAGCUCUGUUAAUCGGGACGCGGUACCGGAAUAGAAAGCCACUGCUAACUUCGUGCCAGCAGCCGCGUUAAUAC
rnacentral:rRNA from 1 species